rnacentral:rRNA from 1 species
ACGAACGCUGGCGGCGCGCCUCACACAUGCAAGUCGAACGAGCGAGAGAGAGCUUGCUUUCUUGAGCGAGUGGCGAACGGGUGAGUAACGCGUGAGGAACCUGCCUCAAAGAGGGGGACAACAGUUGGAAACGACUGCUAAUACCGCAUAAGCCCACGGUGCCGCAUGGCACAGAGGGAAAAGGAGCAAUCCGCUUUGAGAUGGCCUCGCGUCCGAUUAGCUAGUUGGUGAGGUAACGGCCCACCAAGGCGACGAUCGGUAGCCGGACUGAGAGGUUGAACGGCCACAUUGGGACUGAGACACGGCCCAGACUCCUACGGGAGGCAGCAGUGGGGAAUAUUGCACAAUGGGGGAAACCCUGAUGCAGCGACGCCGCAUGGAGGAAGAAGGUCUUCGGAUUGUAAACUCCUGUUGUUGGGGAAGAUAAUGACGGUACCCAACAAGGAAGUGACGGCUAACUACGUG